CUACAGUGGACCUAACAGCUCUAUGACGAAGAAUUUUCUGGCCCAAUUGUUAAUAGUGCCAUAGUUGAGAUCCUUUGGUCACACUGUGUGUGACACCAUAUCGUGUUUGUUAUUCUAUGUCUGUCACCAAGGAACUUCAUUGUUUUAUGACCAAGAGUGGCUCUGUGUCUGUGUGGGACUUUGCGUAAGUGCACCUCCAUCAGACUCUGCAUCUGACUCCAUCUCUCUCCUGCCCACAGCUCCAAUUUCCCCUGCAAGAGUUCAUCCUGGCCAUGGGCUUCUUCCUAGUCCUGGUGAUGGAGCAGAUCACGCUGGCUUACAAGGAGCAGUCGGGGCCACCACAUCGGGAGGAGACAAGGGCUCUGCUGGGAACAGUGAAUGGUGGGCCCCAGCAUUGGCAUGAUGGGCCAGGGGUUCCACAGGCUAGUGGAGCCCUGGCAGCCCCCUCAGCCCUGCGUGCCUGUGUGCUGGUCUUCUCCCUGGCCCUGCACUCAGUUUUUGAGGGGCUGGCAGUGGGGCUGCAGAGAGACCGGGUUCGGGCCAUGGAACUGUGCCUGGCUCUGCUGCUCCACAAGGGUAUCCUGGCAGUCAGCCUGUCCCUGCGGCUGCUGCAGAGCCACCUACGAGUGCAGGUGGUGGUUGGCUGUGGAAUCCUCUUCUCAUGCAUGACACCUCUGGGCAUUGGGCUGGGUGCAGCUCUGGCAGAGUCAGCUGGGCCUCUGCACCAGCUGGCUCAGUCUGUGCUGGAGGGUAUGGCGGCUGGCACCUUCCUCUAUAUCACCUUCCUGGAAAUCCUGCCCCAGGAGCUGGCCACUUCUGAGCAGAGAAUCCUCAAGGUCAUUCUGCUCCUAGCAGGCUUUGCUCUUCUCACUGGUCUGCUCUUUGUCCAAAUCUAGGGGACUUCAAGAGAGGGGCAGGGGAAGUUAACUACCAGGUGCCCUUAUCUUCCCUCCUCUCCCCCGGCGUGUAAGGAAUAGGAAGGAAUGGGGACAGGAGGUAUUGAGGACCAAAGAGUUCUCUGGAAGGUAGGGAUGUAGCCUUUGGAACUAUGACUAAUGAGAGGGAAGUGGGCAGAGAAGAAGCUGGCCUAAGGAACAAGAUAUGGCCAAGUCACUAGAGACAUGAUCAGGGGAUAUUAGGAUUGAGACAGACCCCGAUUGCUAGAUCAGAAGUCCAACACUACGAAUAGGGAUAAGCUGACACUGGGAAUGCUGGUGAUGGGCACCCAGCUACUGUGUAAUAAAGGUAGGGAGAGGUCCAGGGUCAGUGUCCUGUUGGCUCAAGCUCGUUUCAGCAUUCUGCUGCUAGGAGUGGAUCCUUCCUACUUUUCUUACCUCCUAUCUUUCUCCUUCCCUUCCUCCAGUGGAGUAGUGCCAAAUGGUCUCUCCCUGCCAGUUUUGAUAACUUCUCUGGCCUCUCCAGCUCCAAUCACUCCUCUAUUUUUAAAGUGCCAAACAAAUCCUUUCCCUCUUUCUCAAAGCACAGCGAUGUGGCACAGGGUCCUACCCAGCACCCCAGUGGAGGAGACCUACUUGCUCUUAAUUUUAGUUCCAGAAUCUGGUGUGGGGCAGAAAUAUUUGCUGGGAUGGAUUGGGUGAGGGGAGAGCUGCGGCCACCUAGUAGCUGCUGCACCCUAAGUAUACAAACAUGGUCAUGGUGCCUCAUUCCCGAUGAUAAACACUGAGCUGCCAAAACUUUUUUUAUACCUGAGGAGCCCAAGGGAGAAUGGUUAUUUGGG
rnacentral:lncRNA from 1 species